UUUCAUGGCCACGACACGUUUGGGCGCCGUAACCAAGGCCUCGGUAACAGCAUGAAACUCGCGUUGAGGGGAGAAAAAUUUCAUCCGGCGAUCCCGUGCGGCCGCCCACCUCAUUCCACGAGCGCGCUCCACUGCAAUCUUCCCGCCAGCUUCCGGAUUCUUCCCGCCCCUGCCCACUGCAUCUCCAUCUCUCCUGCCCUCCUCCACAUCUUCUUGCCCAUGCCCACCUCAUCCCAAGUAGCAGCGAGUAGAUCCAACUCCAUGGAUGGAACGCCUCCUGGCAGCGGCGGACGGAGCACUUCCGGCAAGCGAGGAAAAGGACGCGGGGGCAGCCGGCUAGGGAUGAAGACGUCGUCCUUGCGUGCGCCUGCGCCCUCGCCGCCUCCUUCGUCUCUAGUGUCGACGCCGACCGCGCCGUCGCCUACUUCCGCCCCAGCUCCACCACCGGUGACGACGUCGUCGAUUUCUUCCCUCGGUGUGCCAACCUCUUCUCUUGCUGCACCGACUGUGAUGCCACGGCCACCGGAAGGACCAAGAUGGGGGGCCAUACCCCCAACUUUUCCAUCUCAACAUGGAAAUCAGCAAGGCCCAAGUACAUGAAGAACAGUCACGUCCCAUUGGUAGAGAAGCAGCAAAGGCCGAGCGCAGUGGAAAACGUAAGAAGGAAAACAUUAUGGAAGGAAUUGUCAUUCUUGGAGACAAUAUUGAGAAAAUUGUUAAGAUGCAGGAAGAUCGGAAGGUGGAGCGUGAAAAGGUCACAGAAGCACAAAUUCAGAUAUCAAAUGCAAAUUUGAAGGCAGCAAAGGAGCAAAAGGAAGCAAGAAUGUUUGAGGUCUAUAAUUCCCUACUUAAUCAAGAUACAAGUCACAUGUCUGAAGAUCAAAUGGCUAACCGAGACAAGGCAAUACGCAAGUUAGAAGAAAAACUAUUUGUGGACUGAAGAUCAAAAGGCUAAGGGUGAAAAAGCAACUAGCAAGAGUGACAAUUUACCUCCAGGAAUCAUAUGGGUGCAUCUCGGCAUUGUUGGUUGAAUGCUUAUCUUCAAUUCUUCUUAGUUAUCUAGCUUAGUUUGAGUGAUAAUUCUUCUUAGUUAUCUUGCUGUUCCAGUUAUCGAAACUUAACUAUGUAAAUGCAGUACUGCAGUUCAUGUUUGAUUAUCUUGCUGUUCCAGAUAUCUAUCUUAUCUCUAAACAAUCUUAUGAACUGCGUGUGACAACUGAAUAUGUGUAGUACUGCACGUUUGUAGUGCACGUUUGUAUGACAACUGAACUAUGUCAUUGCAGUUUGAAUUGCGUGUUCAGUUUGUGUGAAAAUGGCUACACGAGCA